GGGCUCGUAGCUCAGUGGAUAGAGCGUCUGCCUCCGGAGCAGAAGGCCGUGGGUUCAAAUCCCAUCGAGCCCA
rnacentral:tRNA from 1 species